CAAGAAAAUAGAUCCUUUGUGUUCAAAAGGUUUUCUUGCUUGCUUAAUCAAUAGGUUGUUCUGUUUCCUAAAAUAUGAUGGUAUUCACAGGGCAUUAGACAAGAUUAAAAAUGAUUUAGAUUUAGGUGGAAUAGAAAGGUAAAUGGUCAACCUUGCCAGGCAAAGAAUUGUAACCAAAGAUGCUGGACAGAUGGCUGAACUAGACAAGCAGUCACAUCUCUUAAUAGAAAUUCUUGUAGUAUUAAAGAACACAAAAACAAUGUCUUUUGGUGUAAGAAUACACAUGAACUAUCCAACUCUGACAAACAAGAGCAAAGCGGAUUACCUGCUGGUCAUCAUCAUUUUCAGCAUGGGUUAUUCCUAGCAAUCUCCAACCUUCAGCAUUCUCAGGAUUUUUCAUAACUUCAGCCUCUAGUGCAAGCACUGCUUCUCUCAAAAGUCCUUUCCUGAAUAGCUCUUGACCUUCUUUUAAAGGAUUUUGAUGACCAACAUAUGGAUUCAUAUCAGAAAAUAUAUACCCUUGAAGCGUCCGACCGCUGAGGAACCUACAAGUUUUCAGAACCAAAACAUCUAUAUAGAAUUAAAAGAGGUUAUAAAGCGAACUUCUUCAAGGCUACCAGUUAUCAGACGAACUAUCUCCCAAAGCCCCCUCACCAACUUGACGACCAAAUUAUUCUGCCCAGUCAUCAACAUGCAAUUUUGAUAAUUCAUUGACCCAUUGAUCAUCGACAGACUCUUGUUGCAAUCUUACAGCACCAAAUUCAUUGGCCCAAUGGUCAGGUCGACGGAAAACCUAUUAACCAUCAAGUCAAGAACAUUUAAUGAAAUGAAGAAAAUUUUAAUAAUUAAAAAAGAAAUCGAGCAAAAACAAAUUGCAAAAGUCAUGAUUAUUCUAGUUGCAAAUCUAAAUAAAAAAGAACGCAUUCACUAACCAACAAUUAAUUGAGCUAAAAGAAGACAAAAAAUGAAGGAUAGUGUUUCAUAACCAGGCAAAGAAUCAUAACCAAAGAUGCUGAACAGAUGGCUGAACUAGACAAGCAGUCACAUCUCUUAAUAUAAAUUCUUGUAGUAUUA
rnacentral:lncRNA from 1 species